UCGGAUAUGGUGUAACGGCUAACAUUGCCGCCUCUCAUGAUCGGGAGUCAGUCCGCGGCAGCUCGGGGUUCGAUUCCCCGUAUCCGAA
rnacentral:tRNA from 1 species